rnacentral:rRNA from 1 species
CGACUGCUAUUUGGGUGAGAAUAAGCCAUGCAAGUCGAAUGGAAUUCCAAAAUAUUCCAUGGCAAACUGCUCAAUAACACGUGAUCAACUUACCCUAUGGAAAACAAUAACCUCUGGAAACGGAGGAUAAUGGUUUAUAGUUGAAAAGGCUUGGAAAAGUUUUUCAAUAAAAGGGAAUAAUAAAAAUGGUUAUUAUUUUGCCAUAGGAUAGGAUUGCGGUCGAUUAUGGCUGUUGGUGAGGUAAUGGCUCACCAAACCAAUAAUCGAUAGGGGCCGUGAGAGCGGGAGCCCCGAGAUGGGUACUGAGACAACGACCCAGGCCUUACGAGGUGCAGCAGGCGCGAAAACUCCGCAAUACACGAAAGUGUGACGGGGUUACCCAAAGUGCUUAAUUUUUAAGCUGUGGUAAGUGUGUAAUGUACCUUACUAGAAAGGAGAGGGCAAGGCUGGUGCCAGCCGCCGCGGUAAAACCAGCUCUUCAAGUGGUCGGGAUAUUUAUUGGGCUUAAAGUGUCCGUAGCUUGUAUAAUAAGUUCCUGGUAAAAUCUAAUAGCUUAACUAUUAGUAUGCUAGGAAUACUGUUAUACUAGAGGGCGGGAGAGGUCUGAGGUACUUCAGGGGUAGGGGUGAAAUCCUAUAAUCCUUGAAGGACCACCAGUGGCGAAGGCGUCAGACUGGAACGCGCCUGACAGUGAGGGGACGAAAGCCAGGGGAGCGAAACCGGAUUAGAUACCCGGGUAGUCCUGGCCGUAAACGAUGCACACUAGGUGGUUGGUNUGNCUAUGAGCCCUAUCAGUGCCCGAANG